rnacentral:rRNA from 1 species
CAAUAGCGUAUAUUUAAGUUGCUGCAGUUAAAAAGCUCGUAGUUGGAUUUCGGGUGGGAAUGGCCGGUUCGCCGUUUCGGUGUGCACUUGCUACGCCCACCUUGCUGCCGGGGACGUGCUCUUGAGUUCACGCUCGGGACACGGAGUCGGCGAGGUUACCUUGAGUAAAUUAGAGUGUUCAAAGCAGGCCUACGCUCUGAAUACAUUAGCAUGGAAUAACACGAUAGGACUCUGGCCUAUCUUGUUGGUCUGUAGGACCGGAGUAAUGAUUAAGAGGGACAGUCGGGGGCAUUCGUAUUUCAUUGUCAGAGGUGAAAUUCUUGGAUUUAUGAAAGACGAACUACUGCGAAAGCAUUUGCCAAGGAUGUUUUCAUUAA